UACGUAGGGUGCAAGCGUUGUCCGGAAUUAUUGGGCGUAAAGAGCUCGUAGGCGGUUUGUUGCGUCGGCUGUGAAAUCCCGAAGCUCAACCUCGGGUCUGCAGUCGAUACGAGCAAACUAGAGUGUUGCAGGGGAGACUGGAAUUCCUGGUGUAGCGGUGAAAUGCGCAGAUAUCAGGAGGAACACCGGUGGCGAAGGCGGGUCUCUGGGCCGAUACUGACGCUGAGGAGCGAAAGCGUGGGGAGCGAACAGG
rnacentral:rRNA from 1 species